UGCUAAAUAGCUAGCCCUAAAACAUAACAUCAACCAAACCAUAUACAUAAACCUAAAUGUACUAACUCGAACCUAAGUAAACCAUUUCACCGCUUUAGUAUUGGCGAAAGAAAAAGACAUAAGGAGCAAUAGAAAAAGUACCGCAAGGGAAUGCUGAAAGAGAAAUGAAACAAUUCAUUAAAGCAAACAAAAGCAGAGAUUAACCCUCGUACCUUUUGCAUCAUGAUUUAGCCAGUGCCCUCAAGCAAAACGUAUUUUAGUUUGAUACCCCGAAACCAGGUGAGCUACUCCAAGACAGCCUAUUUACAGGGCCAACCCGUCUCUGUGGCAAAAGAGUGGGAGGAUCUUAGAGUAGAGGUGACAGACCUACCGAACCUUGUUAUAGCUGGUUGCCCGGGAAUUGAAUAGAAGUUCAGCUUUUCAGAUUCUUUUUUUAAUUAAGUAAUUCACUUCUAAAAACCCGAGAAACUGAAAAAGUUAGUCAAAGGGGGUACAGCCCGUUUGAACAAAGACACAACUUUAUAGGGAGGGUUAAGAUCAUA
rnacentral:rRNA from 1 species